rnacentral:rRNA from 1 species
UUGGCUCAGGAUGAACGCUGGCGGCGUGCCUAACACAUGCAAGUCGAACGAAGCAUCUUCCUCAGAGAUUCGUCGAAGAGGGAUUUGACUUAGUGGCGGACGGGUGAGUAAUGUAUGAGCAACCUGCCUUUCAGAGGGGGACAACAGUUGGAAACGACUGCUAAUACCGCAUAAUGUAUCGAGGGGGCAUCCCUUUGAUACCAAAGGAGCAAUCCGCUGAAAGAUGGGCUCAUAUCUGAUUAGUUAGAUGGCAGGGUAACGGCCUACCAAGACUGCGAUCAGUAGCCGGACUGAGAGGUUGAACGGCCACAUUGGGACUGAGAUACGGCCCAGACUCCUACGGGAGGCAGCAGUGGGGAAUA